rnacentral:rRNA from 1 species
GACGAACGCUGGCGGCGUGCUUAACACAUGCAAGUCGAACGAUGAGGCGACUUCCUUUUUGGUCGGUGUGGAUGAGCGGCCAACGGGUUAGUAACACGUUAGUAACCUGCCCCCUCCUUCUGGAUAACCGCAUGAAAGUGUGGCUAAUACGGGAUAUUCUGGAUCUGUUGCAUGAUGGGUCAGGGAAGGUUUUUGUUUCGGUGGGGGAUGGGCUCGCGGCCUAUUAGCUUGUUGGUAGGGUGAUGGCCUACCAAGGCGGCGAUGCGUAGCCGACCUGAGAGGGGGAUGGACCACACUGGAGGUGAGGCAAGGUCGAGACGACUACGACGGGAAGCAGCAGUGAGGAAUACGCAACAGUGGAAGGAAGCAUGAUGCAGCGACGCCGCGUGGAUGAUGGAGUCCUGCGCGUUGUGAUCCUCUAUCGGCAGUGAAGAAGGGUGGCCGCGUUUGUGGGUGUGUUGACGGUAGCUGGACAAGAAGCGCCGGCUAACUACGUG